UACGUAGGGUGCGAGCGUUCAUCGGAAUUACUGGGCGUAAAGCGUGCGCAGGCGGUUCGUUGUGUCGGUGGUGAAAUCCCCGGGCUUAACCUGGGAAUGGCCAUGGAAACUGGCGAACUGGAGUGUGGCAGAGGGGGGCGGAAUUCCGCGUGUAGCAGUGAAAUGCGUAGAGAUGCGGAGGAACACCGAUGGCGAAGGCAGCCCCCUGGGCUAGCACUGACGCUCAGGCACGAAAGCGUGGGGAGCAAACAGG
rnacentral:rRNA from 1 species